rfam:Oryza nivara chromosome 1, whole genome shotgun sequence.
AAUAAGUGUAAUUUUACACUAUUCAUCUCCAACGUUUGACCAUUCGUUUUAUUUGAAAUUUUUUUAUGAUUACUAUUUUUAUUGUUAUUAGAUGAUAAAACAUGAAUAGUACUUUAUGUAUGACUAACUUUUUUAAAAUUUUUCAUAAAUUUUUUAAAUAAGACGGACGGUCAAACGUUGGACACGGAUUUUCAUGGCUGCACUUAUU